UGAAACCUUGUGUGACUGUGCAGAAGCCCACAGGAAGCCAGGCAUGAAGUUUAAGAGUUCACAGAGCAACAGGAGCCUGGCAACCACGAGAAAAGAGGCUGGACUAAAAAGGCAGGCAGGGAAAACAGAGAGCGAAAGAAGAGGAUAGGACAGAGAGGGGGUGGAACAAAUUAGCAGCUCAAAAGGCUGAUCUUUUGUACAGAAAGAGACGACUAACCGGAUGGGAUGUAGCCAAUGUCUGGAGUGAUUUAGCUAAUUAAAACUGGGAAUGACAGACAAGAGCAAAACAGGAACGGAAGACAGAUGAGCCGCUACCAAGCAGCAGUCUCCUGCCUUUCAUCUAAAUCUAAUAUCUUUCCACCAUUCACCAUCAAGCCUCCUCCUCUCCCUGCUGCUAACUGAUAUAUGAUUACCCUGCAACCACAAAUAAUAAAGGCUUCAUUGUGAAAUGAGCAAACUGUCAGAGAUACAGUUGAAAAUCAUGUGAACUGGAACCGUGCGAGGAGCAAACAGGAGAGGACAUGCAGUAUUCUUCACUAAUGUAUGUCUGCGCUGCAAAAGUUCACAGAGGCGUCGAAAUGACGCGGCAAAAUUCCUGAGACUGUGACUGUAGUCACUUUGAAUGUUUGUUCUAUGAUAGGCCGUCUCGCAGCCACAUCUGCUAAGGUGUGCCCCUGUGCUGACAGAUUAGCCAACCUAUGUGUAGAGCAGCGUGUGUGACGUCUGAGUUUGAAAUGGGAGGUGGAGGGAGUCCAGAGGUCUGUCUGCGUCUUUUCAUUCACUGGCAUUCAAGAACGCACAGUGACAUUGUUUCACUCAGCAGAACUGCAGUCCGGCCCGACCAGCUAUACUCUGACGACAUGGACAUUGUUUGGAUAUCAACAGGCCUGUUGCUAAGGAACCCAGCCCCCACCCCUCCACCAUGAGUGUUCCCGGCCUGUGCCUAUAUACCUAUUACCUCCUGGAUAAUGAAGUUGUUUGUGUUGUUCUCUUUAUGUAUUAUGUGUUUCUAUGUGCAAUUUUUCAUUCGUUCAGGAGUUCCUGAUAUUAUGUAUUGCGAAAGAGUAGAAAAGAUGGUCCUUUGCCUCCUGUUGCUUCCUUUUAUAACUUUAUUAUAACAGGAUUUAAGGAGUGAAAAGGAAACCUUUGGGAUGUGAAUCAAAGGUUUGUCUCAAACAACUGGAACAGAUACUUCCUGUCUUUAUAAAUAGGGAAAAUGUAACACUUCUUAUGGCGUAAUUUAGCAAAUUCUGUGCAAAAAACACAAAACAAAUUAGCUAAAGCCUUCAUUCUUAUAGUUAUUUAAAGACAACAGCACAUUUACAGGAAGUCCCACCCUUUGCCUGCACUAACAACCAACACACCCAAUCUCCCACACACUUGCAAACACACACACUUAUGCAACAGCAUCGAUGCAGCGGGGGUGUAUUUCAAUCAUUAAAGCAGAGGAAGGGGACCUUGUGUGUAGAGGAGAAUGGUUAUGAAUGGAGUGGAUGGGUUCAGGGAGUUCAUGUGUGCCUGAAGGUCUUGGUCAUUGUCACCAUCACUGAGGGGUUCAAGGUCGAGAGUGAGAGAACAAGCAAUUCAAGCAAUACUGGUGGAUGGAAUGUGUUCUUUAUAGGGGAGUGUGGAAGAGG